GGUGGGUUUGGUUAGGAAAAGUUACUUUAAGUCCAUUGGAAAAUGGCGCCAUGGAGGGUGAUAGCCCCGUAAAAGUAUCCCUUUUCCUUUUAUCCAUUCCCUCCAAAGAGUCGAGUUGUUUGGGAAUGCAGCUCUAAGUGGGUGGUAAAUUCCAUCUAAAGCUAAAUAUUGGCGAGAGACCGAUAGCGAACAAGUACAGUGAUGGAAAGAUGAAAAGCACUUUGAAAAGAGAGUGAAAAAGUACGUGAAAUUGUUGAAAGGGAAGGGCUUGCAAGCAGACACAACCUCGGUUGGGCCAGCAUCGGAGUGGGGGGAGACAAAAAAGAAAAGGAAUGUAACUCAUUCGAGUAUUAUACCCUUUUUCUCAUAUCUCCACCCCCUUCCAAGGCCUGCGAUUCUUCAAGGAUGCUGGCGUAAUGGUGGCAAGUCGCCCGU
rnacentral:rRNA from 1 species